rnacentral:lncRNA from 1 species
CUCACACACAUCCAUGAGGGAAGAAUCAUUCCCAUUUAACAGACAAUGUAACUGGGCCUGAAUAUAGCUCAGCGACUUGCCCCAGGCCCACCAGGAAGUGGAUAAAGCCAUGCUCAACCCAGCACUUCUUCUCUCUACCUUCCACCGAUCCUGCCUGCUCAUCUUCCCUCCUUGGUGAAGGUUAAACAACAUUGUAACAGGACUGAUAACACCAUGAAUGAGAAGUCAUUUGAUCAAUGGAGAGCCAGUUAUUAAACAUUUACCAACAUGUGCAAGAACGGGUUUCAAGGCCGAGGUGGGCAGAUCACAAGGUCAGGACUUUGAGACCAGCCUGGCCAAUAUGGUGAAACCCCAUUUCUACUAAAAAUACAAAAAAAUUAGCCAGGCGUGGUGAUGCAUGCCUGUAAUCCCAGCUACUCGGUAGGCUGAGGCAGGAGAAUUGCUUGAACCCGGGAGGCGGAGGUUUGCAGUGAGCCAAGAUCGCGCCACUGCACUCCAGCCUGGCAACAGAGCAAGACUCCGUCUCAAACAAAACACAGCACAACAAAACAAAAAAGAACGAGUUUCAUAGUGAGAAACAGCGGAGAAACCAGCUUACCUGGUGGGCCUUGAGUGGCCCCUACAAACUCCAACCUGUUCAAGACUCAUUUGCCACGUUGUACCUUCCAGCCAAGGCAAUCCCCCCAGCCUGAGCUACUUCCCAGACCAGACCACAGAAGCAAGGCCAUGCUCACCGAGGACCCCACUUGUGGACUAGACUUCUGUCCUGCUGUGGCCUCAAAAGCAAUAGCCAGGGCCCCAUGAUGAAGCUGCCAUCAGAAGCACAGGUGUGCCUGGCAAGGACACAGGAGGACCACGGCUCCAUGCCGAUGAGAAUGGCAGCUAAGUCUGAAGCUUUCUAUGAUUUAGAUUCCUGGUUGCGAGAGGGAGCCUAUAGGAAUGGCGAGAAGAGUGAGAACUUUGCAGAGGCAGCAAGUGGCUAUGGGCUCAGAUCCUCUCUUACUUCAAGGGAUCUGGGCUGGAUGCUUGGGCGCGAGAGAGAAGAAUGGCUCUCAACUGGGCGGGGAAGAGUAGCCCGCAAGGAGGCAGCGGCUCCAGGAUGGGAAGUGAGGAUGCCAAAAAAGCAUCCCUAGGAAGGUUCCUGCCUUUCCACGAGGCUAUGGGGC